CCAGAAUAUCUGCCUCUCUCUCCUCAUUUUGUCACCUGCGAACUUGCUGAGCGUGCAAUGCAUCCCAUCAUCCAGACCAUUAAUAAAGAUGUUGAACAAAACCAGCCCCAGGACCGACUCCUUGGGCACUCCACUUGAUACUGGCUGCCAAUUAGACAUCGAGCUGUUGAUCACUACCUGUUGAG